CCGGAAGGUCGGAUGGCUGCUCUCGCUUCAUCGCGGGGGAGGAAAGUCCGGGCUUCACGCAAAUGCGGCGCCGGGUAACGCCCGGACCUGACCACCCUCGGGUGGUUCAGGAUGGAAAGUGCCACAGAAAACAAACCGCCGAUGGCUGGUUCCUCUCGAGAAACCAGUACAGGCAAGGAUGAAAAGGUGCGGUAAGAGCGCACCGCGUCUCUGGCAACAGCGGCGGCACGGAAAACCCCGCCGGAAGCAAGACCAAAUAGGAACCGCACAUGGCGUGUUUGCGCGUCGCGGUUCGGGUAGGUCGCUCGAGGCCUGCGGCAACGCAGGCCCCAGAUGAAUAGCCGUCACCCCGCAAGGGGAACAGAACCCGGCUUAUAGACCUUCCGGCCAU
rnacentral:RNase_P_RNA from 1 species